CUGCUGGCUGUCCCCUUGGAAGUUUUCCUGGGUGAGAGGUGAGAUCUGCGGGCAAGCUCCAGAGCCGCCUUCAGCAGCAGUUCAGACGGAUUAUGUCUGCUUCUGUACCUGGAGGAGCUUCGAAUAAAUCAACACAUUAUUUGUUUUUGGGUACAGGAGAAGGAGCGGUUGUCACGUAACUCAGCUUCAGAAGGGCUUUUCAUGUUGCCUAGCUUAGUGCUGCUAGGAGGAAGCGCUGGCUAAGUGGGCCACUGGGGUGAUGGGGUCAAACCUGUCUGAAAAGAGAAACGUGGCACUGGAUGGGAGUGAAAAGGCGUUCAGCGGGUGCUCACCCUGAACUGGAGCUGGUUGGGAGCAGAAAGAAAAAGUUUGUUGUUGAAGCGUGCAGGUAGUGUGGACAGGUUGGAAGCAUUAUCAAAGCCAACAUGGGGAUUUAGAGAGAUGGGCUGAGAGGAAGCAGGGUGCUGUAAAGACAAGUGCUUGUGCAAGAACUGCCACAAGCACAAAUUUAAGUGUGGGGGGGGAGCGACUGAGGCAGGGGCUGCCAUCGUGACCCAGCAGCCAAAUCUGAGCUCACAAUGUCAUGCUUUUGCAAUGAAUGAGGCCGACGUCAUCCCGGAGAUAUUCACCAACUCCAGAAGAAGCUGGGGAGAGUCCAGAGGAAAGUGCAGAAGAUGACUGGUGGUCUGAGAAAUGUGACCCACGGAGAGAGGCUGCGAGAACUCAGACUGUUUAAUUUAGACAGCAGCCUAGGGAAGAGCUAAGCCUUGAGCUAUGUAAAGGGCAAUCCAUGUCUGCAGGGUCUUGAGGCAGCAGCUGAGGCAAUUCAAAUUAGACAGGAAGGAAUUUCCUCCGAGUACAUAUGGGUCCACCCAGGAGUGGCUCGGGGGAGUGGGUAACCUCUGUCAACAGCAGAGGUCAAUGUAGAGGCACUGGUUGAAGAUUUACUGGAGGUGCUCAGCAUGUUGUCUCUUUUAGGACAGGACUGGGGCAGAUGAGGUCUUGGGAACUCUCCUGUUUGUCUGUGAUAGCCAGGCAAAAGCAACCAUGGUGUGAGCUGCACUUCAGGCAGGUGGCUUCCAUCCUGGGUGGUUUUCUGCUGUAAACGGGUCAUGGGGUAACAUGCAAAGCAACCUACAGAAGGAGCAAAGACCAAACGCGUCCAUACACGCGCAACCUUCAGAGCUUCCCUGUGGCCACCCCAUCUAGGCCCUUUGCUCACAACAACUAUCUGGUACAGGGCCGGUGCUCGCCUGCCGGCUCUCUCCUUUGCUAAUAAUUAGUUGCAAUCCAGGCUUCCCUGCAGGAGAGCCCCAUCCCCGUGGGGGAAGAAGCAAGGCUGCACGGAUUAAGGAAGCUAAUUAGCAGGAAAGAGAGCACUGGUGCUGAAGCCCCAACAACCAACUUUGAAAUCUAGAUAAGGGAGCAGUAUUUAAUUAUAUACAAUUAAAGCACCGUGUGUCAGCCCCCUGAGAACUGGCGGUCUUGGAAAGCUCUCCCGAAGGUGCUAAUGAACAGAUCUGAAGGUGGUGGUGGAUGAGGGGCUAUGCAUUUGAAACUUCACCUGGCAAGCAUAUUUGAUCAGAAGACCUUGGAAAAUUCCACUGGGAUACCAGCUCCUUAUUUCUGCAUGGUGUCCUCCCUUUGCCAUAGUGGGUAAUGGGAACCUGAUCCCUUUGGGGCGCUAAAUGUGGGGAUUGCUCUGCUCUGACACCUAAACACUGAGCAACGGAAACGUGAUGAAGAGGAGACAACGCUAUCCUGAAAACAUAAGGGAAAUUGGAGAAGAUCACAGGUAUACUUGGCCUGAGGCAGAGAAACAGCCUUUGUGGCCUUUUCUCCCAAUGCUCAGGAGAAGCCAAAAUGCAAGAGACAAAGCUCCUGCCCCUGUGCCUGCCAGCCAGGGCCUCCUGGCAUCUCCAGGGAGCACCACGCCGACAUUCCCCUGUGCUCCACAGUUCUGCAAGGUUCUCUGAGGUUAUUUUCCCACGAGUUUGCUCUAGCCACUAACACAGCUACUUCCCCUUUGCCUCCAGAGCACAAAUAGCCCCUGACCUCUGAUCCUUUACCUUGCCCUCCCCAUGCUAGGAAGGCAGUUUUCUUUCCCUGCAAAGUGUCUGCCUUGUGUUCAGACGCUUACUAUUGUGCUCUGGGCUUGCAGAGUCUGCAAGCUUUGUGGGCGGCAAGAGUAGCUUUUAUCCCAAAGGUGCUUCUGGGUAUUAAUGUAGUAAAAAAAAAAAAAAAAUGAGGAGGGAAAGCUUGGAUGGAUCUGUAUCAUCUGGCAGAGAACUGCAGAGGCACCCUGAAGUUUUCUAAAAUUCCUCUCCCUCAGCAACUACGUACAAACCCUUAAGAAAGGCUUUAGCUCAGCCUUGGGUGUGAAAGGAGGUGGUGCCUGCUUUAAUUAGCAAAUAUAAAGUGCCUGAAGGCAGUAAGUUUGAAAAGCACAGCCAAAAGCCUUGAGCUCCUUUUUCUGCAUCCUUGUCUCCUGGGAUUCUUCUCUCUUGCCUGGUCUUUGUCCCCUGUUUCUUCCAGGUCCAUGUGCAGAACCUGUGGGUCACAUUUGCAGUGCUGUCACAGACAGCUUCCCUGGUGGUUUGGUUGCUUAAACCUCACCAGAGCUGCAAGCGAUGCCAAUGCCAUGAGGUUUAUUUUAUUUGUCUGAGUGUUUCUGGUGAUGUUUUCCUUUGCAGAGCCAAGAGCUCAACCCUCAGGGGGUUCUUCACUCAUUGUGUUUUAGGUGAAAAUUAAAUUUCUUGUUGAAUCCCAGAGCUCCCAGAGUUGGGGUUUUAAGAAAAAAUGCUGAAUAGAAUCCAGAGAGCCCUGUCUGGCCCUUGCUGUGCCAGGGGAGAAUUUGCUGUGUUUCUUGGGGGAGAAUUGCUCUCUAUUCUCCACCCUGCAGAGCUGAAAGGGAAGGUGAGAGGCUCCUCAGUGCCAGUUUUCCUGGGCCUAGAAUGAAUGAGUGUCUUGGUCUCUUGCGAAUAUACAAACACAUUUCUAUAAAGCACUUGCUAAUGAACUGAAACAGCAGUUUGUCUUUUCAGUGAUUUGCAGGGAGUCAGUAAAAGACUUAACCUGGGGAGCUCGUUACGCUGCUGAAGCAGUGCAUUUUUAGUGGAGAUCCUGAGAAGCUGUUGGAGAGCUUUGGCAGCACAGGGAGGAGGAGACCUGUGAGAGCAGACAUCGAUCGCCUCCAUGCCAGGCUGUGCUGGUGUGGGCAGCUUUGAUUCUCAGCCCUGAUCAUCAUAAUCUCACAGCCAGGCUAAUUGCAUGCUGAUACCAUGUUGGGACAUUCUAUGGCCAGGUCUCAGGUGCAAAGUCGAGGAGAGGAAAGUCCAUCAGCAGGGUGCAGGCAGCACCACAGCAGCCUACCUGGACCCUUGGCCACACACGUGGUACAAAACCUUCAAAAUACAUGAUAAAAAAGGAAAAAUCACAUUUGUAUGAGUGCUUCCCCCCAGCUGCAAGUGAGUGCUUGCAGAGCUGCAAUAUGUUUGGGUUCACAUCCAAAAGCCCCUUGUCCCACUGAAGCCGAGAGCAAGGCUGGGCUACUGGUGUUUGCAAUAGCUACUUGUGAAAAGCUGCUGGGCUCUUGCUACAGUAUGAGUUUGACAUCCAUGUCUUAAAUUCACUGAGCUGGUAUUGCACAAGUUUCAGCUUCAGUGUACUUGCAGGGAGAGCCCUGGCUUGGCACUAGGCAGCCACGGUAAAAGUAAUAAAGAAAAGAGAAUUCUUCAGGCCUUGCCAAGAAAAAUCGCCGUCAAGGCCAACUUGAUUUCAAAUGGUGCAUGGAAAAGGGAGAGCUAAAGUGGUCUGUACUGUCCUGUUAUUGAUCAGCAUUUUGGUGCCAAGGUAGCCACGCUUUGUGUGGGUGGCUAUAUCCAUGUACCCAUAAGAGACAGAAAGGAAAAAGGUAAUGUGAAAAGCUCCAUAUUUGUGAUUGUGUCGAUGACUUCUGUCCCAGCUAGAGCAGAGGUUUAAAACUGCUUUGCUGUAAAUCAGGGGAAAAUACUGAUUUUUGUGAAUAGUAUUUACCUAGGGAAGAAAGCUUUUACUCUUGAGGAAAGUUGCAAGUGCAUAAAUUAGUUUGGCAGUCUGAAGAAAUUAACUGAACUAGGAGUUGUGAUUUAUUUAUUUAUUUAUUUUAUUGCUUCACAGAAAAUUCAAGUCAUGGCUUGAACCAAACUUUAAUACAUUAACUCUGGAAACUUAAGCGGGGUCUGAAUUUCAGGCAAAUGCUUUAAA